GGGGGCGAUUGGUCUCGACGGGGGAUGUGAGGUUCAAGUUGCAUGCCGUGGAGCUGUCACCACGUAAAUACAACAGCAAAACACACAAAAGCCAACAACGAACUGGCACUCGCAGCUUAAUUAAGCCGCGCGCUUUUCCGGGAAGCCUGCUACCGGAGUAAAGCGUCACAAGUAGGCUGGCCUGAAGAAGACUGAUCCCGUUCUUCGGGUAAGAUCAAGGGGAAUUGGAUCUGCAAUAGCCAUUCGGCCCGCGCUUGCAGAUCUGAAAUUAAACGGCUGAAUAAGCAUGUAGACGCUUGGAAGUAGCACUUCCGGACCCGGGUUCGAUUCCCGGCGCCUCCACCA
rnacentral:tmRNA from 1 species